rnacentral:rRNA from 1 species
GUAGGUGGCAAGCGUUGUCCGGAAUUAUUGGGCGUAAAGUGCGCGCAGGUGGUUCGUUUAAGUCUGAUGUGAAAGACCCCCGGGCUCAACCGGGGAGGGUCAUUGGAAACUGGGGAACUUGAGUGCAGGAGAGGAAAGUGGAAUUCCACGUGUAGCGGUGAAAUGCGUAGAUAUGUGGAGGAACACCAGUGGCGAAGGCGACUUUCUGGCCUGUAACUGACACUGAGGCGCGAAAGCGUGGGGAGCAAACAGGAUUAGAUACCCUGGUAGUCCACGCCGUAAACGAUGAGUGCUAAGUGUUGGGGGGUUUCCGCCCCUCAGUGCUGCAGCUAACGCAUUAAGCACUCCGCCUGGGGAGUACGGUCGCAAAGACUG